CCGUGCUAGACGGGGAGGUAGCGGUGCCCUGUAACCCGCAAUCCGCUACAGCGGGGUUGAAUUCCCUCUCGAGGGCCGUUCGUGUCGAAUGAGCUUCGUGGGACGGUGUUGAAGGUUGGGCCCCACGCAAUGAGCCGCGUCAAACCCCGCCAGGCCCGGAAGGGUGCAACGGUACGGCGUUUAGCUCGUGUGCCGUGGGAGUACCUGACCGGAGCCGGCUCCGCGUUGAGAUCGCGGGACGGGCGGUUCAAAGGAGGGUGCACGG
rnacentral:SRP_RNA from 1 species